AUACAAUGAUGUGGACACCUCAUUAGCAACUCCUUGUAUCUUUCCCAAGCUUCAUACAAUGACUCUCCUUUCCACUGCACAAAAGAUGUAAUUUCUCCUCUUAGCUU